UACGUAGGGUGCGAGCGUUUAAUCGGAAUUACUGGGCGUAAAGCGUGCGUAGGCGGUUCGUUAAGUCUGUUGUGAAAGCCCCGGGCUCAACCUGGGAAUGGCAAUGGAUACUGGCGAGCUAGAGUGUGUCAGAGGAUGGUGGAAUUCCCGGUGUAGCGGUGAAAUGCGUAGAGAUCGGGAGGAACAUCAGUGGCGAAGGCGGCCAUCUGGGACAACACUGACGCUGAGGCACGAAAGCGUGGGGAGCAAACAGG
rnacentral:rRNA from 1 species